GUCUACGGCCAUAUCACCCUGAAUGCGCCUGAUCUCAUCUGAUCUCAGAAGCUAAGCAGGAUCAGACCUGGUUAGUACUUGGAUGGGAGAGUGUGUGCCUAGCAUGCUGAAGCCC
rnacentral:rRNA from 1 species